CGAGAAAUCAGGAGUAGUCGGUUCCGGGGGGAGUAUGGUCGCAAGGCCGAAACUUAAGGAAUUGACGGAAGGGCACCACCAGGAGUGGAAUCUGCGGCUUAAUUUGACAACGCGGGAAAACUCACCAGGUCAGGACACGGUAAGGAUUGACGGACUGAAGGCUCUUUCUCGAUUCCGUGGAAAGUGGUGCAUGGCCGUUUUGGUUGGUGGAUCGAUCCGUCUGGUUAAUUCCGUUAACGAACGAGACCUCGGCACUCCGAAUAGCGCGGCGGACGUCGCGGCCUCCGGGCCGUCUUCCGCACGAGCUUCUUAGAGGGACCGUCCCCCGCCGGGGAAGGAGGUGCGAGGCAACGACAGGUCUGUGAUGCCCUUAGAUGUUCUGGGCCGCACGCGCAUUACACUGACGCGUCCAACGGGUGACUCCCGACCCGAAGGGGCCGGGGAAUCCGCAAGGCGCGUCGUGAUGGGGAUUGAACGUUGCAAUUGUUGUUCACGAACGAGGAAUUCCUAGUAGGCGCGGGUCAUCAACCCGCGCCGAUUACGUCCCUGCCCC
rnacentral:rRNA from 1 species